GUCCGGAACUGGUGCGAGGGGCAGUCGUCAUACCUGGAGUGGGCGCUCGGACUCGCGUGUGGGU
rnacentral:tRNA from 11 species